rnacentral:rRNA from 1 species
CAACUUUCAGCAACGGAUCUCUUGGCUCUCGCAUCGAUGAAGAACGCAGCGAAAUGCGAUAAGUAAUGUGAAUUGCAGAAUUCAGUGAAUCAUCGAAUCUUUGAACGCACCUUGCGCUCCUUUCAAUGGAGCAUGCCUGUUUGAGUGUCAUUAAAU